rnacentral:rRNA from 1 species
GAUGAACGCUGGCGGCGUGCCUAAUACAUGCAAGUCGAGCGAACAGACGAGGAGCUUGCUCCUCUGACGUUAGCGGCGGACGGGUGAGUAACACGUGGAUAACCUACCUAUAAGACUGGGAUAACUUCGGGAAACCGGAGCUAAUACCGGAUAAUAUAUUGAACCGCAUGGUUCAAUAGUGAAAGACGGUUUUGCUGUCACUUAUAGAUGGAUCCGCGCCGCAUUAGCUAGUUGGUAAGGUAACGGCUUACCAAGGCAACGAUGCGUAGCCGACCUGAGAGGGUGAUCGGCCACACUGGAACUGAGACACGGUCCAGACGCCUACGGGAGGCAGCAGUAGGGAAUCUUCCGCAAUGGGCGAAAGCCUGACGGAGCAGCGCCGCGUGAGUGAUGAAGGUCUUCGGAUCGUAGAACUCUGUUAUUAGGGAAGAACAAAUGUGUAAGUAACUAUGCACGUCUUGACGGUACCUAAUCAGAAAGCCACGGCUAACUACGUG